rnacentral:tRNA from 1 species
CGGGGAGUAGCGCAGCCUGGUAGCGCAUAUGCUUCGGGAGCAUAGGGUCGCAGGUUCGAAUCCUGUCUCCCCGACCA